UACGUAGGGGGCAAGCGUUGUCCGGAUUCAUUGGGCGUAAAGAGCGUGUAGGCGGCCUUACAGGUCAGCUGUGAAAACUCGAGGCUCAACCUCGAGACGUCGGUUGAAACCGUAAGGCUAGAGUCCGGAAGAGGAGAGUAGAAUUCCCGGUGUAGCGGCGAAAUGCGCAGAUAUCGGGAAGAACACCCGUGGCGAAGGCGGCUCUCUGGGACGGUACUGACGCUGAGACGCGAAAGCGUGGGGAGCGAACAGG
rnacentral:rRNA from 1 species